CUCUACUGCCAUACCACCCUGAACGCGCCCGAUCUCCGAAGCUAAGCAAGGUCGGACCUGGUUAGUAUUUGGACGGCAGACC
rnacentral:rRNA from 10 species